rnacentral:rRNA from 1 species
GGGCUACUACACCGGAUCCCAUCAGAACUCCGCAGUUAAGCGCCCUUGGGCCGGAUCAGUACUGGGAUGGGUGACCU